AUGCUGGGGUCUGUCACCCUCCUUCUCUCUGCCCUGCUCCCUGCCGUCCAGACGGCACUCACCAUGGACCAGCCGAUGGUCUCCAUCACCAAACAGGCCGGGACAACGGCAUCGUUUCUCUGCAAGUUUUCCGGUCAAAUCAUCAACUCCAUCCACUGGUAUCGCCAGCAGCCUGGGAAGGGUCCCCAGCGCCUGCUCUACUAUAACCUGGCCAUGUCUCAACCCACGCUGGAUUCAGGAUUCAGCUCAGAUAAAAUCUAUGUUUACAAGGGCAAAGAUCAAAGCUCCACCUUGGUUGUAAGGAAUCUGGGUGAGAGUGAUGUCGGCAGCUAUUACUGUGCCAGCUGGGACUCCACGAUGACACAGGUCCCUCCACCCCUUGUACAAAAAAAUCAGUUUGUGGUCCCCAGGAGCAGGGCCCGCCCCCGACAAUUCCGGCACUUAAUCUCACCCUUUGUUUUGUUCUCCUCAAUGAACUAA